GUACUCGCUUCAGCAGCACAUAUACUAAAAUUGAAACGAUACAGAGAAGAUUAGCAGGGCCCCUGUGCAAAUAUGACAUGCAAAUUUGUGAAGUGUUCCAUAUCUGA
ensembl:snRNA U6 U6 spliceosomal RNA